AUGCUCGCUUUGGCAGCACAUAUACUAAAAUUGGAACCAUACAGAGAAGAUUAGGAUGGCCCCUGUGCAAGGAUGACAUGCAAGUUCGUGAGGUGUUCCAUAUAAAA